UACGUAGGGUGCGAGCGUUGUCCGGAAUUACUGGGCGUAAAGAGCUUGUAGGUGGUUUGUCGCGUUGUUCGUGAAAUCUCACGGCUUAACUGUGAGCGUGCGGGCGAUACGGGCAGACUAGAGUACUGCAGGGGAGACUGGAAUUCCUGGUGUAGCGGUGGAAUGCGCAGAUAUCAGGAGGAACACCGAUGGCGAAGGCAGGUCUCUGGGCCGAUACUGACGCUGAGGAGCGAAAGCGUGGGGAGCGAACAGG
rnacentral:rRNA from 1 species